UGUCUAAUUGUAACCCCUACCCAUGUCC
rnacentral:sRNA from 1 species